AUGAACGCUGGCGGCGUGCCUAAUACAUGCAAGUCGAGCGAACGGACGAGAAGCUUGCUUCUCUGAUGUUAGCGGCGGACGGGUGAGUAACACGUGGAUAACCUACCUAUAAGGCUGGGAUAACUUCGGGAAACCGGAGCUAAUACCGGAUAAUAUUUUGAACCGCAUGGUUCAAAAGUGAAAGACGGUCUUGCUGUCACUUAUAGAUGGAUCCGCGCUGCAUUAGCUAGUUGGUAAGGUAACGGCUUACCAAGGCAACGAUGCAUAGCCGACCUGAGAGGGGGAUCGGCCACACUGGAACUGAGACACGGUCCAGACUCCUACGGGAGGCAGCAGUAGGGAAUCUUCCGCAAUGGGCGAAAGCCUGACGGAGCAACGCCGCGUGAGUGAUGAAGGUCUUCGGAUCGUAAAACUCUGUUAUUAGGGAAGAACAUAUGUGUAAGUAACUGUGCACAUCUUGACGGUACCUAAUCAGAAAGCCACGGCUAACUACGUG
rnacentral:rRNA from 1 species